CCUACGGGCGGCUGCAGUGGGGAAUAUUGCACAAUGGGCGCAAGCCUGAUGCAGCCAUGCCGCGUGUGUGAAGAAGGCCUUCGGGUUGUAAAGCACUUUCAGCGGGGAGGAAGGCGUUAAGGUUAAUAACCUUGGCGAUUGACGUUACCCGCAGAAGAAGCACCGGCUAACUCCGUGCCAGCAGCCGCGGUAAUACGGAGGGUGCAAGCGUUAAUCGGAAUUACUGGGCGUAAAGCGCACGCAGGCGGUCUGUCAAGUCGGAUGUGAAAUCCCCGGGCUCAACCUGGGAACUGCAUUCGAAACUGGCAGGCUAGAGUCUUGUAGAGGGGGGUAGAAUUCCAGGUGUAGCGGUGAAAUGCGUAGAGAUCUGGAGGAAUACCGGUGGCGAAGGCGGCCCCCUGGACAAAGACUGACGCUCAGGUGCGAAAGCGUGGGGAGCAAACAGGAUUAGAACCCCUGUAGUC
rnacentral:rRNA from 1 species